GAGCAUGCGCAGCUACACAUGCAGUCCGAACGGUAGCACAGAGAGCUUGCUCUCGGGUGACGAGUGGCGGACGGGUGAGUAAUGUCUGGGAAACUGCCUGAUGGAGGGGGAUAACUACUGGAAACGGUAGCUAAUACCGCAUAACGUCGCAAGACCAAAGAGGGGGACCUUCGGGCCUCUUGCCAUCAGAUGUGCCCAGAUGGGAUUAGCUAGUAGGUGGGGUAACGGCUCACCUAGGCGACGAUCCCUAGCUGGUCUGAGAGGAUGACCAGCCACACUGGAACUGAGACACGGUCCAGACUCCUACGGGAGGCAGCAGUGGGGAAUAUUGCACAAUGGGCGCAAGCCUGAUGCAGCCAUGCCGCGUGUAUGAAGAAGGCCUUCGGGUUGUAAAGUACUUUCAGCGGGGAGGAAGGUGUUGAGGUUAAUAACCUUGUCGAUUGACGUUACCCGCAGAAGAAGCACCGGCUAACUCCGUGCCAGCAGCCGCGGUAAUACGGAGGGUGCAAGCGUUAAUCGGAAUUACUGGGCGUAAAGCGCACGCAGGCGGUCUGUCAAGUCGGAUGUGAAAUCCCCGGGCUCAACCUGGGAACUGCAUUCGAAACUGGCAGGCUAUAGUCUUGUAGAGGGGGGUAGAAUUCCAGGUGUGGCGGUGAAAUGCGUAUAGAUCUGGAGGAGUACCGGUGGCGAAGGCGGCCCC
rnacentral:rRNA from 1 species